rnacentral:tRNA from 1 species
GCCGGAGUAGCUCAGCUGGUAGAGCACCUGAUUUGUAAUCAGGCGGCCGUCGGUUCGAGUCCGACCUCCGGCU